GAUGAACGCUGGCGGCGUGCCUAAUACAUGCAAGUCGAGCGAACAGACGAGGAGCUUGCUUCUCUGACGUUAGCGGCGGACGGGUGAGUAACACGUGGAUAACCUACCUAUAAGACUGGGAUAACUUCGGGAAACCGGAGCUAAUACCGGAUAAUAUAUUGAACCGCAUGGCUCAAUAGUGAAAGACGGUUUUGCUGUCACUUAUAGAUGGAUCCGCGCCGCACUAGCUAGUUGGUAAGGUAACGGCUUACCAAGGCAACGAUGCGUAGCCGACCUGAGAGGGUGAUCGGCCACACUGGAACUGAGACACGGUCCAGACUCCUACGGGAGGCAGCAGUAGGGAAUCUUCCGCAAUGGGCGAAAGCCUGACGGAGCAACGCCGCGUGAGUGAUGAAGGUCUUCGGAUCGUAAAACUCUGUUAUUAGGGAAGAACAAAUGUGUAAGUAACUAUGCACGUCUUGACGGUACCUAAUCAGAAAGCCACGGCUAACUACGUG
rnacentral:rRNA from 1 species